GUGCUCGCUCGGGCAGCACAUACACUAAAAUUGGAACGAUACGGAGAUUAGCAUGACCCUUGAGAAAGGAUACACGCAAAUUCGUGAAGCAUUCCAUAUUUUU